rnacentral:snoRNA from 1 species
AACAAAUGAUGACAACUGUUUCGGUCCCAGAUGAUCGCCUGAUUACUGCCUAAUGAGAUCACCUGAAGUU